GGGGUCAUCCCGACUUACCAACCCGAUGCAAACUGCGAAUACCGGAGAAUGUUAUCACGGGAGACACACGGCGGGUGCUAACGUCCGUCGUGAAGAGGGAAACAACCCAGACCGCCAGCUAAGGUCCCAAAGUCAUGGUUAAGUGGGAAACGAUGUGGGAAGGCCCAGACAGCCAGGAUGUUGGCUUAGAAGCAGCCAUCAUUUAAAGAAAGCGUAAUAGCUCACUGGUCGAGUCGGCCUGCGCGGAAGAUGUAACGGGGCUAAACCAUGCACCGAAGCUGCGGCAGCGACACUAUGUGUUGUUGGGUAGGGGAGCGUUCUGUAAGCCUGUGAAGGUGGCCUGUGAGGGUUGCUGGAGGUAUCAGAAGUGCGAAUGCUGACAUAAGUAACGAUAAAGCGGGUGAAAAGCCCGCUCGCCGGAAGACCAAGGGUUCCUGUCCAACGUUAAUCGGGGCAGGGUGAGUCGACCCCUAAGGCGAGGCCGAAAGGCGUAGUCGAUGGGAAACAGGUUAAUAUUCCUGUACUUGGUGUUACUGCGAAGGGGGACGGAGAAGGCUAUGUUGGCCGGGCGACGGUUGUCCCGGUUUAAGCGUGUAGGCUGGUUUUCCAGGCAAAUCCGGAAAACCAAGGCUGAGGCGUGAUGACGAGGCACUACGGUGCUGAAGCGACAAAUGCCCUGCUUCCAGGAAAAGCCUCUAAG
rnacentral:rRNA from 1 species